AGUAAAAGUCGUAACAAGGUUUCCGUAGGUGAACCUGCGGAAGGAUCAUUAACAAAAAUCUUCUUGAAAAAGAAGUAUUUAAUAAAGCUGCAAAGCGAUAUUAGAUUAAAAUUUCAAGCAUUUUAAUUUUGUUGAAGUUUACUUUGAUAAAAUUAAAAGGCUUUUUGUAAACCUCGUGAAGCGUUAAACCUUCACUAAAUAUCAAUACAAAAAUUAAACGAAAAACUUUUACAACUUAUAACAAUGGAUCUCUCGGCUCCUACAUCGAUGAAGAACGCAGCGAAAUGCGAUACGUAAUAUGAAUUGCAAAUCUUGUGAAUCAUCGAGUUUUUGAACGCACUUUGCACCAGUUGAAAGACCGGUAUGUUUGUUUGAAUAUUAUAAUAUUUGCCUCAGAGCUUUAUGCUUUGAGGAUUUGGGCUUAACAGUAAUUCAUUUACUGUAGACCUUUAAUAUUAUAAUUGUUGGUUUCCAGGUGUUAUAGAUUUAUCUAUCUCAUCUCGUUAUUGACUCAAUAUAAUGUUUGAAAUUUAUUUCAUUUUUUAUAUUGAAGUACUAUAAUCAAAAAUGGUUAGUAAGUGCUCUGGGCUUUGCCUAAAAGUAUUUAUUACUAUUUGAGAUGGCAAGUAAUUCAAAAUAAAAAGUAUUGUAAACCAAAAUAUUAUAAGACUCCUUUGUAUAAUAUUCAAAUCAAGCAAGGCUACCCGCUGAAUUUAAGCAUAUUAAUAAGCGGAGGAAAAGAAACUAACCAGGAUUCCCCUAGUAAUGGCGAAUGAAACGGGAAAA
rnacentral:rRNA from 1 species